CAAAGCUCUAUAGGUAUUUGAGUCUGUUUAUGAUCUUAUGACACUAUAUCAUACCUAGUGUGUGAUGUGGUAUGUAAGUUCUAGUGUUUGAGUACUGCAUUUGUAGUGUAACUUAGGUUGAGUACUUCUUGGGCGCAGGCAUUUUGGUUGUGUCCUUACAAUUUCUCAGAGAACCACUGGAGCAUGCCCAUUGGUGGACCGUCUGGCUGAAAUACAGGAAGCAGGGCAAGUGACAUGC